UACGGCUAUAUCGCAUUGAAACACCAGUUCUCGUACGAUCACCGAAGUUAAACAACGUCAAGCUUGAUCACUACUUAGAUGGGUGACCGCUUG